AACCUCUCCGGUGGCCUAGUUGUUAGAGCAUCUGCCUCAGAUGUGGGAGGUCGCAGGAUCAAACCCUGGCCGAGUUA